AUUGAACGCUGGCGGCAGGCCUAACACAUGCAAGUCGAACGAGUGGCGGACGGGUGAGUAAUGUCUGGGAAACUGCCUGAUGGAGGGGGAUAACUACUGGAAAAGGUAGCUAAUACCGCAUACCAUCGGAUGUGCCCAGCUGGGAUUAGCUAGUAGGUGGUGUAAAGGCUCACCGGGGCGACGAUCCCUAGCUGGUCUGAUAGGAUGAACGGCAACAUUGGACUUGAGACCCGGCCCAGACUCCUACGGGGGGCAGCAGUGGGCAAUAUUGGCCAAGGGGGGAAAGCUUGAUGCAGACAGGCCGCUUGUUGUUAGAAGGCCUUCGGGUGUUAAAGUACUUUCAGCGGGGAGGCGUUACCCGAAGAAGAAGCACCGGCUAACUCCGUGCCAGCAGCCGCGGUAAUAC
rnacentral:rRNA from 1 species